UCCUGGCGGCUGCUUUCUCGUUUCUGUUUUUAGGGUGCGUGUAUCAAAGCCGGGAACAGUGACACAAGGAAGGGCUUAGGGUGGAAGAAGCUGCAGGAGAGAGCCUGGGCGGGGCUGCUGUGGCUCCCUGGAAAGUCAGAGAAAAGGGGCCUUGGAGACAGAUUCCGGGGCUGGCCUGGGUUUAUAGUAAACACUCCCAUUUUUCUAUAUGAGAAGGAGUUGCAAAGCAUUCCAUUUGGUGCAGUGAUUCUCAGCCUCUGGGUAAGAAAGUUAUCAAAGUCUCCUGGUGGGCUUUUUCACAUUGCACCUGCCAUGGCUCCUGCUUCCUAGUCUGACUUUUCUUCCUUGGUAGGGAGCUCGACUCCCUGACCGAGAAUCGCUACAAUAGGAAGCACACGUGGAGGUAUUCCAUCCCUGCUUUUAAGUUUGUUCAGGUAUUUUGUAAGUCCCGCUGAGUACCAGGAACUGUCUUAGCUACUGGGGAAUCAGGACCAAAACAGUAGCUCUGCAGGCGUGGAGCUUACCUUUUGUAUAGCAUGUGCCACAGAGAAAUCUCAUUUAUUUGGCUACCAUUGCAGAUGCCAACCCAACCAGAGAUCAUAUAAUUAAGCACAUGCUAAUAACUCUUUGAAUAAGAAUAAAGUGUGGGUAAGUGGGGGGCAGGGUGCUGUGUUAUACCAGGUAUCUCUGAUGUGACAUUUGAGGAGAUACCUGAGGUAAGGGAGCCAGCUGUGCAGUAUGUGAGGCAGAGCAUGAGGUGGAAAAGCCCCCAGGCUGGAGUGUGCUCCAUGUCUUUAAAUGUCAGCAAGGAUGCCGCUGUAACCAGAACUCAGUGAGCAAAGGGAAAGUGGUAGAAGAUGAGAUCAGAGAGGCAACUAGAGGUCCCGAUCUUGUAGGGCCUUGUGGGCCACGAGAAGGGCUCAGCUUUGCUCAGAAUGAGAUGGGAGCCUUUGAAAAGUACUAAACAGAGAUAGGACAUGAUCUUAACUUAAAUUGCACAGUGAUCACUCAGGCUGUUAUGUGUAGGGGUACAGAGAUAGAGCACAGGGACCAGUUUAGAAGUUUGGUUCAAUACCAUAGUCUAGAGAGGUGCCUAUGGAAAUAAGUGGAUAUAUUUUCCUUGAAAGUGUUAAACAAGAAGGUGGCUAACACCGACUCAUCAGUCAGUGGAUGAGCCUUUCCACUAGAGUAGGUAAAUUCUCUUCCAGUUGUUUGUUCAUGUUCAGUAAAAACAAGACUAAUUUUUGCCUGUUUUUCACCGUAGGUACCAGCAUGUGCUACACAGAAAUCUCAUUUAUUUGGCUACCAUUGCAGAUGCCAACCCAACCAGUCCUUCAAAAGUGAUGGAAUAAUCUUCCAGGUGGCUGUUGUGAGGAGUAAUCGAAAGUAAUACAUUUCCUAUGAAACAGGCAGGAUCUUUACCAAUUCCACUGCUGAAAACAUGAAGGAAAUCUCUGUGUCUCUUUUAAGUGUGAAAAUGUGAAGAACUAAAAUAACUGUAUUUCCAUGUAAAUAUUUAUUUUAAUAAUUAAGCAGAUUCCCUCAA